rnacentral:rRNA from 1 species
UCUGAUUUAGCGGCGGACGGGUGAGUAAUGCCUAGGAAUCUGCCUGGUAGUGGGGGAUAACGUUCCGAAAGGAACGCUAAUACCGCAUACGUCCUACGGGAGAAAGCAGGGGACCUUCGGGCCUUGCGCUAUCAGAUGAGCCUAGGUCGGAUUAGCUAGUUGGUGAGGUAAUGGCUCACCAAGGCGACGAUCCGUAACUGGUCUGAGAGGAUGAUCAGUCACACUGGAACUGAGACACGGUCCAGACUCCUACGGGAGGCAGCAGUGGGGAAUAUUGGACAAUGGGCGAAAGCCUGAUCCAGCCAUGCCGCGUGUGUGAAGAAGGUCUUCGGAUUGUAAAGCACUUUAAGUUGGGAGGAAGGGCAUUAACCUAAUACGUUAGUGUUUUGACGUUACCAACAGAAUAAGCACCGGCUAACUUCGUGCCAGCAGCCGCGGUAAUACGAAGGGUGCAAGCGUUAAUCGGAAUUACUGGGCGUAAAGCGCGCGUAGGUGGUUCGUUAAGUUGGAUGUGAAAGCCCCGGGCUCAACCUGGGAACUGCAUCCAAAA